rnacentral:sRNA from 1 species
CGAGCGAAGCGAGAGAACGUUGCCGCAGGCAACGGCCCGAAGGGCGAGGCGCUUUAGCGCCGAGUAAUCCUUCCCCCACCACCA